CCCAAGACCCCCCCCCCCAAAUCGGAUUUUUUGAGAGGAAAAAGUGCGGGGAAUCGUUCCCCAUCCUUGUCCGAAGUGCACAUGGCAAUGAGCGAUGCCCGGUACAAGCUGCUUGGUGGUGGACAGUACCCAUCCGAGUGUGAUGAGGAUGCCCCAGUCCCUCCUGCCCUUCCAGUUCCAUUCUGUCGUUGUGAACCGGGCAAUCAGCUGGCAGAGUGGAUCGAUGGUCCGGAUAAGUUCGAUCCUAGAAUUCGGCUGUUCCCUUAUUAUCGGUCAGAGUCGUGGGCGUACAAUGAGUUUAGACGAUGGGUCCCUCCCCCACCAAAUCCACCACCUAUGACAGAGGAAGAGAAGCAAGAAGCUGCUAUAUAUCGUGUGAACAAUCCUCCCAAAUGUCAUUGCGGUGUUCGUGCCAAACUUCAA